rnacentral:misc_RNA from 1 species
CCGAGUGAGGGCCUUCAGGCUCGACCUCCAACCCUUUGUGAACACAUCUUGUUGCUUCGGGGGCGACCCUGCCGUUCCGACGGCGAGCGCCCCCGGAGGCCUUCAAACACUGCAUCUUUGCGUCGGAGUUUAAGUAAAUUUAAACA